UGAACAUGGGCCUUCCAUACGAGCUGAAAGCUAAAUCCGUUUGUGAACCAAACCUUUAAGACGGCUUAGCAGUUGUUAGCAGAAGAAAGUGAUUUAUUAUUUCUUGCCGCAAAUUUUUGAAGAGUGAUACUGUUUGAAAUUUGAAGAUAUGUGGAGAGGAGCUGGAAUUGAUAUUCCAACAUCUGUGUUGCAUUCAUACAUCACAUUCCAUUUCUGUGAGAAUAGAGACUAAUGUUCUUUUCAAAUAAUGCAUUGUGCACAUCAGACUGGAUCUUAAUAUUCUUUUCAUAGAAUGAUGUUUCCUGUAAUGGUGUGGUAUCUUCAGUAUCAAUUGUUCGUGGUGUUGUGACGGUGGCCACUUUUGAUUUUACAAGACUGAUAUUGUUACUGUUUCAAUUUUGUUCACUCUUCUGUGUAUAAAUAUAUAACUGCUUACAUUGCCUUGGCUGUUUUGUUUCCGAAAGUGGUUUAAUAAAAGCUGUGAAAUUUUUUUCGAAGUAAAAA